UACGGGGGGAGCAAGCGUUGUUCGGAUUUACUGGCGUAAAGGGCGCGUAGGCGGCCAGCACAAGUCAGUUGUGAAAUCUCCGAGCUUAACUCGGAAAGGUCAACUGAUACUGUGCGGCUAGAGUGCGGAAGGGCAACUGGAAUUCUUGGUGUAGCGGUGAAAUGCGUAGAUAUCAAGAGGAACACCUGCGGCGAAGGCGGGUUGCUGGGCCGACACUGACGCUGAGGCGCGAAAGCUAGGGGAGCGAACAGG
rnacentral:rRNA from 1 species